AUUGAACGCUGGCGGCAGGCCUAACACAUGCAAGUCGAGCGGGGUUUUCGGACCUAGCGGCGGACGGGUGAGUAAUGCGUAGGAAGCUACCCGAUAGAGGGGGAUACCAGUUGGAAACGACUGUUAAUACCCGCAUAAUGUCUACGGACCAAAGUGUGGGACCUUCGGGCCACAUGCUAUCGGAUGCGCCUACGUGGGAUUAGCUAGUUGGUGAGGUAAUGGCUCACCAAGGCGACGAUCUCUAGCUGGUUUGAGAGGAUGAUCAGCCACACUGGAACUGAGACACGGUCCAGACUCCUACGGGAGGCAGCAGUGGGGGAAUAUUGGACAAUGGGCGCAAGCCUGAUCCAGCCAUGCCGCGUGUGUGAAG
rnacentral:rRNA from 1 species